GCCACACAUAGAUUUGGAAAUGAAAUUGUAAUGGAGCUGUUGGUUCUUCUUUAGGUUUGCAAACAACGUUUUUAUUCCAUAAGACAAUUCUAUCACAUGAGAUAGGAUGGUCCAAUGCACAACUGGUGAUAUGUACAAGUUCAAUAACAGCAUCUAACAUGGGCUUAUUCUGACUCUAGUAUAGAUCGAAAUUAGAGAGCCUUGGUUUAGCAAUAAGAAGUAAUGGAUUCUUUUUCUUGACGACAAUCCCGAAUUUGUCCGACAAUUCCACCUCUGUGCCGUUCAGCAAUUUCCAUUCAAAUGAGUGCAAGAGUGAAGCGAAAAUGAACAUAAACAUCCUUUCUGCCAACGGAACUCCAGGACAAAUCCUCCUCCCUGAUCCAAAUGGGAGAUACUGAAAAUUGUUGCCCGAGUAAUCAAAGCUGCCACUAUCCUUGUUUAAGAACCUUUCAGGUCUAAAUUCCAAGGCAUUGUCCCAAAGAACGGGAUCCUUGUGGAUAGCAUUAACAUUGAGGAAAACGGUACUGCCCUUGGGAAUGGUAUAGCCACCUAGUGUGCAGGAUUGGCUUGAAAUAUGAGGCACUGACAGAGGAAGUGCUGGAUGCAAACGAAGUGUCUCCUUCAUGACAGCAUUUAAAAGCUGCAAGUUUGGCAAAUGGAACUCUUCCACAAUGUUGCUGUGACCCACAACUUCAUCUAAUUCUUGGUAGACUUUUUCCAUUAUUUCUUGAUGUAGCAUUAGCUCUGCCAUCGUCCAUUCUAGCGUGGUUGAUGUUGUGUCUGUGCCACCCACCACAAUGUCCUAAACAAGAACAAUAUUGACAGAAAAUGAAAUGACAUUAAGAAAGAAUCAGGUUACGUAGUUUAACCAAUGAAAUUCAAAACCCAAAUUAAUUUUGUAGGAACCAUACUAAUAGUAAGGAUUUCAGCUGGUUGGUGGUAAUUGAUGUUUCAGCAUCUCCAUGCUUGUUAAGAUCCAAAAGAAUCUGCAAGAAAUUCUUCGUUCUCUCGCUCUUUUCUACGUUUGGACCCGUAUUCAAAUGUUGCUCAAUUACAGAAGUAAGAACCUGAUCAAAAGAUGAGAGUAUCCUUUUGGUUUGCCUUUCUACACCUUGCAAGUCGAACCUCGCAAGCACAGGAAAAAGAUCUGAAACAUUAGGCUUUCCCUGGAGCACCAUAAGUUCCUCUGCCAAUUUCCUGAACUCUGAAACAAAAGAAAUCCAUUUCUCUCCUUUGACCGUUCCACCACACAACAUGCUGUUAAUAGCAUUUGCAAUGAUUUCAAAUACCAAUUCGCCGAAGUCUACGGGAUUGCCUGCCUUUUCAUACACACCUCUUAUAGCAUUCUGUACCUCUUGCUUCCUCAUCGGAUAGCAGGCAUCAAGAGUCCCUUUACUUAGCAUUUCACGAACAAACACCUUCCGCAUCUUCUUCCAUUCAGGACCAUAAGAGGACCAUGCAAUAUCGUUUCCACCGUAACUGGCAAUCCUGGAAGCUGUUGGUGGAUCUCUGUUGGCAAAUAUCGCAUCUUUGUCGCGAAAAACUUCUUUGGCUAGUGAUGGUGAGCUAAUCACUAUGCAUAAUUUGUUUCCAAGCCACAGCUUGUAGAUAGAGCCAUACUUACCUGCCAGUUCCGUGAACUUCUUGUGAAGGAAAGUGCCUAGAAAUGGAAGAUAUCCAAUUACCGGCAAGCCCUUGGGGCCUGGGGGCAAGGGAGCCAUUGCUUUCUUUGAUUUCUUGUCAAUAUUCCACAGCAAACAGAACACUGUAGUAAUUGUGACUACUAUAGUAAGAACUGAUCUGAUAACUUUCUCCCCCUCGUUGCUGGCAUCCCACCACCAUGACCACCAUCCUGAAAUCACUUCCAACAUUUUUUUGAUUG
rnacentral:misc_RNA from 1 species